UACAGAGGUCUCAAGCGUUGUUCGGAAUUACUGGGCGUAAAGGGCUCGUAGGCGGCCAACUAAGUCAUACGUGAAAUCCCCCGGCUUAACCGGGGAACUGCGUCUGAUACUGGAUGGCUUGAGUUCGGGAGAGGGAUGCGGAAUUCCAGGUGUAGCGGUGAAAUGCGUAGAUAUCUGGAGGAACACCGGUGGCGAAGGCGGCGUCCUGGACCAACACUGACACUGAUGAGCGAAAGCCAGGGGAGCAAACGGG
rnacentral:rRNA from 1 species